AGAGUUUGAUCCUGGCUCAGAACGAACGCUGGCGGCAUGCUUAACACAUGCAAGUCGAACGCUCCGCAAGGAGAGUGGCGCACGGGUGAGUAACACGUGGGAACCUGCCUCUUGGUUCGGAAUAGCUGCGGGAAACUGCAAUUAAUACCGGAUACGUCGGAUCACUGUGGUGGUGGUUCGGGAAAGAUUUAUCGCCGAGA
rnacentral:rRNA from 1 species